CAAGAAAAGGAGCUUUUGGGGGCGGUUUCGUAGGGGCGGUUUUCUUAGACGCCCCUAUUAUUAUAUUUUAAAAAUAAUUUACUUUUACAGCGGCGGAAGGUGAAAACGCUCCUAAUGUCAGAGGCGCUGUUGUUGAACUUAACGGUUUUUAAAUGAAGCACAGUUCAAAUCUCUUCCUCUCUCCUCUGUUCUUCUUCAAUCGUAAAAUCAAUGAGAAGCAUUUUUUAUCCUCUUCUCUGCUCCUCACUUCUCUAAUCAGAAUCAGUUUUUAGGGUUUUGAUUUCAUUUUAAAAACGGUGAAUCUGCCAUUGCUGAAUUGCGUUGUUCAGGAGCUUUCAAGGACUUCUAAUGGCAACCGAAUUUCAUCUCAUCAUGAAAAAAUACAUCGAAUCUUUGCUAUUCUAUCUCGCAAUUGUUCAGGUGAAAUGAGGAUUCAAAUGGAAGAUGACUCUUAUCUUCUCAAUUUCUUGUCCUCAUUCAAUUUCUUUUUAUUCUCGGAACUGAUACAAGGAUAACAUAUACAGUGUAGGACUGAAGGAUAAGGAUGUUUUCUCCUCCUUUUCAUUAGUUAAUAAAGCUGGUGCCCGGUGGUCAUGCCAUUAAGGCUAAUGGAGACACUAAUCUUAAUAAUGGUUAUAUAACAGGAAGUGUCUCUUUAAAAGGAAACAAGUAAUUUGCAUCACAGCAAGAAGUUGAGCACUCGAUGAACUAUUAGGAGGUAUCUUUUCUUAUACUGUUAAAAUGCUCUCAGAGUCUCUGCUAUCGUAAAUGUAAGUGGGAUUAUUGUUGCUUGUUUCGAUGAAAUUGAUGCUCUUUUCUGUUUACUAUAAAAAGGUGGUGUUGAAACUUGCUUGUAUUACGGAAGCUUUUGGGGAAUUCCGGCGAGAUACAUUUGUUUUUUAUUAUGAUUGUUAAUUGUGUUUUUUGGUACAAUCUAAUUUCAAAUCAUGAAAUUUCUGUUGGUCGUUUCAUUCCUUGUAUAGUUUAGAUCUAGGGAAACAUAGCUUGCUCAUGCUCUGUUGGUCAUUGUUUCUUACAAUUUUUUUGUCAUUUUCUUGCAAACGCUGUGUUACUGGAAUCAUUGAGCGGACAUGGAAGAUUCUUGAUCGAAUUCUUAGAAGAGUAACUAAUGCUUACUGUCACAGUCAGAUGAUCAUUACACCAUCCACCUAUGCAUUCUUUAAAUUUUUUAUGCAUCUCUUGGCUUGUUCAUGCCUUCUUCUGACCAACCUCUCUUUUACUCUGUUUCUCAGUUAGCGCUCUAUUUUUGUCCUCUAUUCUUUUCUUUCUUCAUCACUGUCAAGCACCGUGUUGAACAUUAUAAACUAAAGGCUAUUUUAGUGUUGCAGUUUCCGUGCAAAUUGUAGAUAUCUUUAACCAUACAUCAAGAAGUCUCAUGAUUUAUUGCCUUGUUUAA